UAGCUCCGCCACUGGGAGCAAGAUGGUGCGUGAAGACAGAUGACUGGUCUGCAGUGGUUCUCGGUCUGGUGGGUCUUCCUCGGAUUUGAAGCCCUACUACAGCGCAGAAGUUAGGCCUGCAAAUUUGCACGGGCACCCCUGUUGAACCCCACGUCGCAGAUCCGAUCACUACGGCGGCGACCCGCGGCCAAAGACGGAGAUCUCGCCGUGCGCCCUAAACACCGACGACACAGGAUACUGAUCCAUUGCAGUUGGGUUCAUCUCGAUCUCCUGACGCGGCCGCCGUGUACUUCUUGGUGUGAGCAAUGCAAUCUUCCAAUAGCUUGCAAAUGCAGGUGGAGGAGGAAAGAUUUACCACACCUGUAAAGAAAGCAAGUGUUCCUCUCCCCGUGAAUGGGGAAGAACUGAAAGAGAAGAGCGAAGAAGCCAAGGCCAAGGUCGCAUGCUCGUGCAAGACGUGCAACCAAGUAGGGUUUCAUAUAGUCGCAAUUGUCCAAAGAAAAAGGGUCAAGGAAAAGAAGUCAUGAAUGUGCAUGACAUGCACACAGAAUUACAGAUUGUGCAUCAUGAAAGCUACACCUCUUGCAAGAAAAAUAAAUGCUUUAUCAAUAGUAUUGUUUUAUUCGAUGUAUAAAAUUUCUUUGUGUAAUGGAUCAAAUAAUUAUUUUGUCCAACCAUUUGACUUAGUGGUGGGCAGAUUCAAUGAAUUACAGUUUUUCUAUCA